rnacentral:sRNA from 1 species
UACUGUUCAACUGCAACUUUAAAUAAGC